rnacentral:rRNA from 1 species
AGUGAACGCUGGCGGUAGGCCUAACACAUGCAAGUCGAACGGCAGCACAGGAGAGCUUGCUCUCUGGGUGGCGAGUGGCGGACGGGUGAGGAAUACAUCGGAAUCUACUCUGUCGUGGGGGAUAACGUAGGGAAACUUACGCUAAUACCGCAUACGACCUACGGGUGAAAGCAGGGGAUCUUCGGACCUUGCGCGAUUGAAUGAGCCGAUGUCGGAUUAGCUAGUUGGCGGGGUAAAGGCCCACCAAGGCGACGAUCCGUAGCUGGUCUGAGAGGAUGAUCAGCAACACUGGAACUGGGACACGGUCCAGACUCCUACGGGAGGCAGCAGUGGGGAAUAUUGGACAAUGGGCGCAAGCCUGAUUCAGCCAUACCGCGUGGGUGAAGAAGGCCUUCGGGUUGUAAAGCCCUUUUGUUGGGAAAGAAAUCCAGCUGGCUAAUACCCGGUUGGGAUGACGGUACCCAAAGAAUAAGCACCGGCUAACUUCGUGCCAGCCGCCGCAGUAA